UACGUAGGGGGCUAGCGUUGUUCGGAGUUACUGGGCGUAAAGGGCGCGUAGGCGGCGCACCAAGUCAGGCGUGAAAGCCCUGGGCUCAACCCGGGAAUUGCGCUUGAGACUGGUGUGCUUGAGUACGGGAGAGGAUAGUGGAAUUCCCAGUGUAGAGGUGAAAUUCGUAGAUAUUGGGAAGAACACCGGUGGCGAAGGCGGCUAUCUGGACCGUAACUGACGCUGAGGCGCGAAAGCGUGGGGAGCAAACAGG
rnacentral:rRNA from 1 species